rnacentral:siRNA from 1 species
UCAACCUAGGCUCUGAUA